UACGGAGGGUGCGAGCGUUGUCCGGAAUCACUGGGCGUAAAGGGCGCGUAGGCGGCCUGAUAAGUAGGGGGUGAAAUCCUGCGGCUUAACCGCAGGGCUGCCUUCUAAACUGUCAGGCUCGAGCACAGUAGAGGCAGGUGGAAUUCCCGGUGUAGCGGUGGAAUGCGUAGAGAUCGGGAAGAACAUCAGUGGCGAAGGCGGCCUGCUGGGCUGUUGCUGACGCUGAGGCGCGACAGCGUGGGGAGCAAACGAGGA
rnacentral:rRNA from 1 species